rnacentral:rRNA from 1 species
UGGGGAAUAUUGCACAAUGGAGGGAACUCUGAUGCAGCGACGCCGCGUGAACGAAGAAGGCUUUCGAGUCGUAAAGUUCUUUUAUAUGGGAAGAUAAUGACGGUACCAUAAGAAAAAGCCCCGGCUAACUACGUGCCAGCAGCCGCGGUAAUACGUAGGGGGCUAGCGUUGUCCGGAAUCACUGGGCGUAAAGGGUUCGCAGGCGGAAAUGCAAGUCAGGUGUAAAAGGCAGUAGCUUAACUACUGUAAGCAUUUGAAACUGCAUAUCUUGAGAAGAGUAGAGGUAAGUGGAAUUUUUAGUGUAGCGGGGAAAUGCGUAGAUAUUAAAAAGAAUACCGGUGGCGAAGGCGACGUACUGGGCUCAUUCUGACGCUGAGGAACGAAAGCGUGGGUAGCAAACAGG